UUGCUUGAAUUUUUAAAUUUGAUUUUGAUGUUGAGUUUUAUCUGUGAAGCCAGAGAUGAAUCAGAGCAGAUUUUCUCCCAAAUCAUCAAAAUGAAUGCCAAGUUUAAUCGCAGCCCGAUUGCUAAGGAGUCUGUUGAAAGUGCCAUAGAAUGUUGUCGGUUAUGCCACAGCAAUCCACUGUGUAGAGCAAUAAAUUUUAUAGCUAACAAGCGAUGCGAAGUCUUGGAUGACAUACCGUUAGAUCCGAACACUUUAAUAGCUGAUGAACAGUCGGAGUAUUGGGAGAAGACCUGUCAACCAUCAUUUGGUGUUACAGCAGCCGAUUCAUUUCAAGUCUUGGAAUCAAGGAUAAUUGCUGGUUGGGGUCUUAAUGUCUAUAAUGUGAAGUUUGAUUCCAGCUUAUCUCAAACCAAUAUAUCGUACCUUGGUACGGUGCCGGUAUUAAGCAUGGGUAGACAAAUGACUAUGUCUAACGUUGCUGUAAUGGAAACUCAAGAUGCCUCAAUCAGUUUGAUCGAAGAUGGUAACGGUUGGACCACCUGUAAUCUGCACAGCAGUACAUGUACCAGUCCAGGAACAUGGGGAAAACAUUUGGUAGAGUUGAUUAACGGAAGUCGGGUGUGGGCUCUUUUAUCAAACAGAAACGGUGAUGGAGUCUAUGUUUUCAGCUAUGACAAAGUCAUUGAAGUAUCUACACCAAGUUUUGGUGCCUGGCUGAUCAUAAAUACGUAUGACCUCAAUGAUAACAGUACCGAUAACAUAUGGAGACAUGUUCCAAAAGGUAUCAUCGCUGCUUCUUGGAUUAUGCAAAAUAUCCCCGAACUCAGAAAUGCUUUUUUGUUAACUAACGACUAUUACAUUGUAUUUGAUAUCAUAACUCAUACUGUUAUACACAGGGGACAUUUAUGUCAACAAGUGUUAUAAUUAUCUACCAAUUGUUUCGAUGAUAAUUUACCAUCACAAAGAGUAGCGCUUAAUGAACUCGUGAAUUUGGAAUGAAUCUACAUGUAUAAUAGAAUGUUUUGAUGUGAAGAACAAUUGGUUUCAAAAAUUACAUCUUCUUAGAUUAAAUCUACCGACCAUUGAACUGUUUGAGGAAAUAAAAGGUGUCAGUGUUCCAAUUGACAUAGGCUCUCUUAAUUUCCAUUACAUCUUAAUACAAACUUAUUUUCUAUAAUAUAUAAAUUAAAGUUAUAUGUCUCGCGAGGAACUAUGCAGAUCUGCUACAUAAAAGCAUCAGUAAAUUAAAUAUGUUUAUAUCUUCAUUUAUUAAACAUGUAUUAUAUUAUGUUCUUUAGUAAUAUUUUCUUUAAAUAUUUUAAUUGUCCAUACCCCUCUAACCAGGAUAAUUAUAUUUAGA